UGGAGGUCUACAGUGGCUGAGAGCUGGCCACCAGUGAUGUGCUGGAGGUCUACAGUGGCUGGGAGCUGGCCACCAGUGAUGUGCUGGAGGUCUACAGUGGCUGGGAGCUGGCCAACAGUGAUGUGCUGGAGGUCUACAGUGGCUGGGAGCUGGCCACCAGUGAUGUGCUGGAGGUCUACAGUGGCUGGGAGCUGGCCAACAGUGAUGUGCUGGAGGUCUACAGUGGCUGGGAGCUGGCCACCAGUGAUGUGCUGGAGGUCUACAGUGGCUGAGAGCUGGCCACCAGUGAUGUGCUGGAG
ensembl:lncRNA